GUGAGGAAUAUUGCGCAAUGGAGGCAACUCUGACGCAGCCAUGCCGCGUGCAGGAAGAAGGCGCUACGCGUUGUAAACUGCUUUUAACCGGGAAGAAACCCCAGGACGUGUCCUGGGUUGACGGUACCGGAGGAAUAAGCACCGGCUAACUUCGUGCCAGCAGCCGCGGUAAUACGAAGGGUGCAAGCGUUAUCCGGAUUCAUUGGGUUUAAAGGGUGCGUAGGCGGAGCGUUAAGUCAGUGGUGAAAUCCUGCAGCUUAACUGUAGACUUGCCAUUGAUACUGGCGCUCUUGAGUGCGCUUGAAGUGGGCGGAAUGUGCCGUGUAGCGGUGAAAUGCUUAGAUAUGGCACAGAACACCAAUUGCGAAGGCAGCUCACUAAGGCGAUACUGACGCUGAGGCACGAAAGCGUGGGGAUCGAACAGGAUUAGAAACCCCUGAAGUCC
rnacentral:rRNA from 1 species